rnacentral:misc_RNA from 1 species
GGAAGGAUCAUUAUUGAAUAAAACUUGAACAGGCUGUUGCUGGCCCUCUUGUGAUAAGGAGGGGUAUGUGCACGCUUGUCAUUUUUAUUUUCUCCAACUUGUGCACAUAUUGUAGAUCUGGAAAUCUUUUUGAAUUGCUAUACUUAUUUGUCAAAAUGAGUUGGCUUUACUUAUUUGUAUUUCCAAGUCUAUGUUGCUUCAUAAACUAUGUAUUGAAAGUCCUAUUAUAUAAUAAUAAAAUUAUACAACUUUCAGCAACGGAUCUCUUGGCUCUUGCAUCGAUGAAGAACGCAGCGAAAUGCGAUAAGUAAUGUGAAUUGCAGAAUUCAGUGAAUCAUCGAAUCUUUGAACGCAUCUUGCGCUCCUUGGUAUUCCGAGGAGCAUACCUGUUUGAGUGUCAUUUAAAGUCUUCAACUGCAUUAGUUCUCUUAUGUCUGGUGUGGCUUGAGUAAUGGGGGUUUUUAUUUGCAGGCUUUUUUUCAAGUCAGCUCCCCUGAAAUAUAUUAGUGGUAUCCAAGUAGAGAGACUACUAUAGGUGUGAUAACUAUUUUUUACACCUUUUAGUUACUCUGUUUACACUGCUUCUAAUCUAGUGUUUUGAAGGGCACAUUUUGAUAAAUUUGACCUCAAAUCAGGUAGGACUACCCGCUGAACUUAAGCAUAUCAAUAAGCGGAGGAAAAGAAACUAACAAGGAUUCCCCUAGUAACUGCGAGUGAAGCGGGAAAAGCUCAAAUUUGAAAUCUGGCAGUUUAUACUGUCCGAAUUGUAAUCUAGAGAAGUGUUACCUAUACAGGACCAUGUACAAGUCUCCUGGAAUGGAGUAUCAUAGAGGGUGAGAAUCCCGUCUUUGACAUGGACUACCUGUAUAUUAUGGUGCGCUCUCAAAGAGUCGAGUUGUUUGGGAAUGCAGCUCAAAAUGGGUGGUAAAUGCCAUCUAAAGCUAAAUAUUGGCAAGAGACCGAUAGUGAACAAGUACCGUGAGGGAAAGAUGAAAAGAACUUUGGAAAGAGAGUUAAACAGUACGUGAAAUUGCUGAAAGGGAAACGCUUGAAGUCAGUCGCAUUAGCCAGAAAUCAACCUUGCUUUUGCUUGGUGUACUUUCUAGUUGAUGGGUCAGCAUCAAUUUUGAUCACUGGAUAAAGUCUUUGGGAAUGUGGCAUCUUUGGAUGUGUUAUAGCCUAUUGUCGUAUACAGUGAUUGGGAUUGAGGAAUUCAGCAUGCCGCAAGGCCGGGUUUUUAAUCACGUUCAUGCUUAGGAUGCUGGCAUAAUGGCUUUAAUCGACCCGUCUUGAAACACGGACCAAGGAGUCUAACAUACAUGCAAGUGUUUGGGUAGAAAACCCAUAUGCACAAUGAAAGUGAAAGUUAAGAUCUCUUCAAUUAAUGGUGGAGAGCAUUGACGCCCAGACCAGACCUUUUGUGACGGAUCUGCGGUAGAGCAUGUAUGUUGGGACCCGAAAGAUGGUGAACUAUGCCUGAAUAGGGUGAAGCCAGAGGAAACUCUGGUGGAGGCUCGUAGCGAUUCUGACGUGCAAAUCGAUCGUCAAAUUUGGGUAUAGGGGCGAAAGACUAAUCGAACCAUCUAGUAGCUGGUUCCUGC